UUGUCUCAAAGAUUAAGCCAUGCAUGUCUCAGUACAAGCCAAAUUAAGGUGAAACCGCGAAAGGCUCAUUAAAUCAGUUAUGGUUCCUUAGAUCGUACCCACAUUUACUUGGAUAACUGUGGUAAUUCUAGAGCUAACACAUGCAAACAGAGCUCCGACCGGAGACGGAAGGAGCGCUUUUAUUAGAUCAAAACCAAUCGGUGGCGGUUUCCGUCAUCGUACAACUUGGUGACUCUGAAUAACUUUACGCUGAUCGCACGGUCUCGCACCGGCGACGCAUCUUUCAAAUGUCUGCCUUAUCAACUGUCGAUGGUAGGUUCUGCGCCUACCAUGGUUGUAACGGGUAACGGGGAAUCAGGGUUCGAUUCCGGAGAGGGAGCCUGAGAAACGGCUACCACAUCCAAGGAAGGCAGCAGGCGCGCAAAUUACCCACUCCCGGCACGGGGAGGUAGUGACGAAAAAUAACGAUACGGGACUCAUCCGAGGCCCCGUAAUCGGAAUGAGUACACUCUAAACCCUUUAACGAGGAUCAAUUGGAGGGCAAGUCUGGUGCCAGCAGCCGCGGUAAUUCCAGCUCCAAUAGCGUAUAUUAAAGUUGUUGCGGUUAAAAAGCUCGUAGUCGAAUCUGUGUCCCGCGCCGCCGGUUCAUCGUUCGCGGUGUUAACUGGCGUGCCGCGGGACGUCCUGCCGGUGGGCUUAGCUCGAGAGGGCGGCCCAACUCAAUCCCGCCGCGGUGCUCUUCAUUGAGUGUCGAGGUGGGCCGGCACGUUUACUUUGAACAAAUUAGAGUGCUUAAAGCAGGCUAAAACUUCGCCUGAAUACUGUGUGCAUGGAAUAAUGGAAUAGGACCUCGGUUCUAUUUUGUUGGUUUUCGGAACCCCGAGGUAAUGAUUAAUAGGAACGGAUGGGGGCAUUCGUAUUGCGACGUUAGAGGUGAAAUUCUUGGAUCGUCGCAAGACGGACAGAAGCGAAAGCAUUUGCCAAAAACGCUUUCAUUGAUCAAGAACGAAAGUUAGAGGUUCGAAGGCGAUCAGAUACCGCCCUAGUUCUAACCAUAAACGAUGCCAGCUAGCGAUCCGCCGACGUUCCUCCGAUGACUCGGCGGGCAGCUUCCGGGAAACCAAAGCUUUUGGGUUCCGGGGGAAGUAUGGUUGCAAAGCUGAAACUUAAAGGAAUUGACGGAAGGGCACCACCAGGAGUGGAGCCUGCGGCUUAAUU
rnacentral:rRNA from 1 species